rnacentral:tRNA from 1 species
UCUAAUAUGGCAGAAUAGUGCAAUGAAUUUAAGAUUCAUAUAUAAAAUAUUAUUUUUAUUAGAA